rnacentral:rRNA from 1 species
GGCGUAUGACUUUUUCCGAGUCGUAGUCAUUGGGGCCCCGAACACACAGUGGAAGUAAAAACUAAGGCUGCUGCAGCCUUAGGAAUAUUCCUCGGGGGCGCAAUCCCGGCGCUUCGCGUUGACCUCGCAUCGUGCGGAGCAGCAAGAGCACACACGUUGGGACCCGAAAGAUGGUGAACUAUGCCUGGCCAGGUUGAAGUCAGGGGAAACCCUGAUGGAGGACCGUAGCGAUUCUGACGUGCAAAUCGAUCGUCGGAGCUGGGUAUAGGGGCGAAAGACUAAUCGAACCAUCUAGUAGCUGGUUCCUUCCGAAGUUUCCCUCAGGAUAGCUGGCGCUCGUUAUCGAGUUUCAUCCGGUAAAGCGAAUGAUUAGAAGCCUUGGGGGCGAAACGCCCUCAACUUAUUCUCAAACUUUAAAUGGGUGAGAAGUGUGACUUGCUUGAGUGAAGCCGCACAUCGAAUCGGAGUGCCUAGUGGGCCAUUUUUGGUAAGCAGAACUGGCGCUGUGGGAUGAACCAAACGUCGGGUUAAAGUGCCAAAGUGGGCGCUCAUCAGAUCCCACUGAAAGGUGUUGGUUGCUAAUAGACAGCAGGACGGUGGCCAUGGAA